rnacentral:tRNA from 1 species
GCCUGGGUGGCUUAGUCGGUUAAGCGUCUGACUUCAACUCAGGUCAUGAUCUCACAGUUUGUGAGUUUGAGCCCCGCGUUGGGCU